UACGUAGGGUGCGAGCGUUGUCCGGAUUUACUGGGCGUAAAGGAUGCGUAGGCGGAUAUUUAAGUGAGAUGUGAAAUUCCCGAGCUUAACUUGGGAGCUGCAUUUCAAACUGGAUAUCUAGAGUGUGGGAGAGGAGAAUGGAAUUCCUAGUGUAGCGGUGAAAUGCGUAGAGAUUAGGAAGAACACCAGUGGCGAAGGCGAUUCUCUGGACCAUAACUGACGCUGAGGCAUGAAAGCGUGGGUAGCAAACAGG
rnacentral:rRNA from 1 species